GAAUCAAGAAUUUCCCACCCAGUGAAUACAGCGAAUUCAGUUACAUGACUACCUGAAUUGCUCACCUGUCAGCAGAAGACAGUGAAAGCGAGUCCUCUACAUAAACUCAUGGGCUGACAAGAUUCUCCUUAAAGGGUCUAAUUAUUUCCAGACAUGUAUCCCAGGAGACCCUAUCCAAGUCCCAUAGCUUCUGCUGUAGAAAAGCCUCUCAAGUCUAUCCUCUCUUCUAAUUCCUACAAUCAGUGCUCUAAUUCUAGGCCCUCCUUCAACACCUCUUUUGAGGAUUAUUAAUUCAGUCUUUGGGCAGAUUCCUACAGGCCAGGAAGUGGUAAACAAAAUAGAUACUAUCCCUGCCCUCAUGAAGUUUACAAUCUAGUGGAGGAAGGCGGACAAACAAUCACAUAAAUAAAAAUAUAAUUACAAAGUGUGAUAAAUGCCAUGAAAAUAAAGUACAGAGUAUUAAGAGGAUCUGAUUAAGACUGACUAAGGGCUUGAUUAAGAGAUCAGGGAAGGCCUCUCUGGGAAACUGAUGUUCAAGUUCAGCCUUGAAAGGUGAGUUGAAGGGAAUUUAAACAGGUGAAAAGUUGGGGACAACAUUACAAGCAGAGGAAAUGACAUGUGUGAAAGGGCCUGAGACAGGAAAGUGGUUGGUGUCUUAGAAAAACUGAAAGAAAACGAGCGUCUUUGAAAGUGUCCAUUUUAUUUGGCAACGGGGAGUUCACUGGUGAUCUUGACAUAAACAAUUUCAGGUGCGUGGUUAGUGGAAAUGAAGCUAGACAGCAGAGGGUGCAAAAGUGAAUGGAAAAUUGAGCAGACAGUCUGGGUGGUCAAAAAAGGUUGGCUGUUAAAUGAGACAGUCAAUACCCAGAGGGUGAUGUGGUGUCAGGGGAUUUUUAAAUUAAUAUUGAUUUUAUCAAAUUAAUAUAUGCACAUGGUUACAAAGAUAAAUUGUAGUAUAAAGUUUAUGAUGGAAAAUAGCAGUCCCCAGCUCCACCCCUUUCUACCUCUGUGUCCUUCUCCAGAGACCACUACUUUCAAAUCUUUUAGCUGUCUCAUCCGGCAUUUAUGUUCAUGUUUAUAAAUCAUAUGUGUAUUUAAUUAUUUCUUGAUUUUAAACAUUCUCUUGACUUCCUACAUCCACCACCUUCCUCACAAUUUCUUUUUUUUUUUUAAUUUUAAUAUUUAUUUAUUUGGCUGCACCAGGUCUUAGUUGCAGCAUGCAGGAUCUUUUUGUUGCAGCACGUGGGAUCUAGUUCCCUGACCAGAGAUCGAACCUGGGCCCCCAGCAUUGGGAACACAGAGUCUUAACCACUGGACCACCAGGGAAGUCCCCACAAUUUCUGAUUUAAUUAAUAUCCAGUGUUUGCUAUGACUUGGUAGUCUGUGGACCCUUAUUAUUACUGUAUAAUUUAUAAUUUAAUUUUACUAUUUGACUCUCUUUUAUUUUUCUAUAUAUUUGUCCCUAAAUCUUCACAAAUUCUCUAGUGGAAUGGUAAAAAUUGCUCUCAAUCUAAAUCUAACUUUCCAUAUGGUCAAACACAGUUCCUUUUUGUUUCCCCCCAGAACAUAAUCCUUCUGGAACUUUCUUUUCUGAUACAUUCUGAAUUGACUCUCCUCUCUGGCUUACAACACCACUUCAUGCUGGACUUGUCUCUCUCAUCAGCUAGGAAUUGCCUUUGCCUCUCUUCUGUUAGUUGCCCUGUGUUCUAGAUCCCAUGAUUUCUUCUUUCUUGUUGGGAAGUCCCUGUAUGUAAACUUUUAAAAAAAAGGACAGAUUAAAAAUUUCUCUAUAUCCCUAAUUUUCUAGAUUUUUAUGAUGAGGUACCCUGGGGUAGGCUAUUUUUAUUUGUUGUGCUGGGCACUCAGUGGGCCCUUUCAAUUUGGAGACUUGUGUCUGGGAAAUACACUUGGUACUCUUUCUUUUAUUUUUUUAUAACUUUGCCUCCACUGAUGUUGAAGGUUUAGAAAGGAGGAAUUAAAUGAUGAAGCAACAUCCCUGAGAAGCAGUAGUGGCUCAAGAAUUUCUAUAUAGGGCUUCCCUGGUGGCGCAGUGGUUAAGAAUUCGCCUGCCAAUGUAGGGGACACAGGUUCGAGCCCUGGUCCGUGAAGAUCCCACAUGCCGCGGAGGAACUAAGCCCGUGCGCCACAACUACUGAGCCUGUGCUCUAAGAGCCCAUGAGUCACAACUACUGAGCCCAUGCGCCGCAUCUACUGAAGCCCGCGUGCUCUGGAACCCGUGCUCCACAACAAGAGAAGCCACCGCAAUGAGAAGCCUGCGCACCGCAACGAAGACCCAACGCAGCCAAAAAUAAAUUAAUUGAUUAAUUAAUUAAUUUAAAAAGUUUACAUACAAAUAGAAAUCAGAAUGGCAUUCGGCUUAACAAUGAUGGAAUCUAAUUAGUAAGCAGAUUUCAGAUUUCUGAGAGAAAUUGAUUUCUAGCCUAAGGUUUCAUGCACAGCCAAAUUAUCAACUGUGAGAGUUCAAAUAUAUAUACUUUGAGACAUUCAUUUCAAAAAUGUUCCUACCAUGUAUCCUGCUGAAUAUGCUUCAGCAUAUUCAUACGGAAUAUGCUUCAGCAAAAUGAGCC
ensembl:lncRNA